UGAGAAGUGAACUACCUUAAAAUACAGUAGGGUAAACAAAUGACUGGCUUACUCACUGGCUCAAGGAUCUGUAAGUUGGGCGGGGCGUGGCCAGGCAGCACUGGGACUCCGUGAUUGGCUAGAGGCUCUGCGUGGCUGAUUAUGACUGUUGUGGAGAGCUGGCUGGUGAUGGCUUUUGGUUAAAAGUUCAGCAGAGCAGAGGGCCAAGCCUUCCUCUCUCCUGCCGUGUGACUUCUCCAAUGUGACAGGACGAGCUUCUUAUAGCACGGGCAGAUAAAUGAAUGAAUGCUGACAUGAUUCGGGCAUAACCCUCGUGAACAGUCCUCAGGGAGAGCAAAGGUGGGAGAGAGAUUUGUGUCACUUGUGAAUCCCGUCAGGACAGGGCUCUGACUCAGCCUGGGUUGUGCCCUGAAACAGGUGAGUCUGUUGGGUUAGCAGAAUUGGAGAACAGUUAAACAAAGGAGCUAUCUGUACAGGAGUGGGCAGGCCAUGGAAAAACCAACCAGGACCCUGCAGUACGUCAGGGUAGCAACAUAUCUUUAUUGCCGGAGCCUCCAAGGGCCAAGGUGGAGAGACAGCUGUUCUUAGAGCCUGGAGAAUAAGGUGUUGUUGGAGGACAGAGCAGAGAUGGCCUCAGCCAGACUGGAGUGGCCUGCGAGGAGGAGCUGGGAUGACCAUACCUGUUCCUCUCUGUCCUCUCUCCGUUCUCUAGCCAGCAGCCUGGAGCCUGUGGAUGAGUCUGCAAGUGUCUGAGCAUGGAGUGAGCUGGAAGAGGGGGUAGAGGUUCUGGUGGGGCAAUGGGGAAGGAAGCCAGCACAGCCUUCCCUUCAGCUAUAUGCAGUUCUCUCUGGUGGUGAUGGAUCUGAACAGUGGGCAUUGGUGUCUCCGACUCCUCUGGAGCUGCGUCCUAAGGGCCACAUGGACACAUGGAGUCGGUCACAGUCCUGAGUGGAGGCUGGAGCCCAUCGUUACCGUGGCUGUUUGAAAGCCGAUGAUUACUCCGGCUUUUGUCUGGAUCGACCUCUUUCCUUCCUUAUUGUCUCCAUCCUUUACUCCCUCUCUUUUUUCUCAUUACACUGCUGUUUUAUUUUAUGUUUUUAAUAUAAAUUUGACUUAGUCUUACUGAAAAAAUAUUAAAAUAUAUAAAAC
rnacentral:lncRNA from 1 species